rnacentral:rRNA from 1 species
GAUGAACGCUAGCUACAGGCUUAACACAUGCAAGUCGCGGGGCAGCAUGGGGGUUGCUUGCAACCCCUGAUGGCGACCGGCGGACGGGUGAGUAACGCGUAUCCAACCUGCCCUUCACCACGGGAUAACCCGGCGAAAGUCGGACUAAUACCGUAUGUUGUCCAUUGACGGCCUCCGAGUUGGACGAAGUGCUUGGCGGAGAGAGGAUGGGGUUGCGUCCGCUUUGCUUGAAGGGGGGGUAACGGCCAACCGUGGGCACGAUCGGUAGGGGUACUGAGAGGAAGGCCCCCCACAAGGGAACCGAGGCACGGGCCAGACUCCUACGGGAGGCAGAAGUGAGGAAUAGUGGUCAAUGGGCGUAAGCCUGAACCAGCCAAGUAGCGUGCAGGAUGACGGCCCUAUGGGUUGUAAACUGCUUUUAGGCGGGGAUAAAGGGGCCCACGUGUGGGCUUUUGCAGGUACCGCAUGAAUAAGGACCGGCUAAUUCCGUG